CGACUCCUCGCAGAGGAUAUCUCGCUCUCGCAUCGAAGAAGAACGUAGCGAGGAGCGAUACUGGUGUGAGAUGCAGAGACCCGUGAACCAUCGAAUUUUUGAACCAUGUGCGCCAGGACCACUAGGCUGAGGCACGUCUGCCUGGGGUCACGC
rnacentral:rRNA from 1 species